CCCGCCUCGCUCUGUCUUCGCCCCGCCCCGUCCCGCCAGCCACACCCCGCCAGCCACGCCCUCCUUCCUCCCAGCACCCGCUCCGCCCCGCGGCGAGUCCCGAGGUCAACUGCCCUCCCGGCCAGGGCUUAGGACCUUCGUCCCCGCUGUCAUGGGGGACAGAGCAGAGGAUCUGAAUGGUUGGGGCCUCUUUGAGGGGCCUCUCUGGUGACCGAAUCCAACUCUCUGAGCUUCUGAGUUUUUGAGGCAACUGUUGACAGACUGCGUUUUCCCAGCCAGAAGAGCCAACAUUUCUAGGGAUUUCUUCGCAGCUUUUGUUGUUAAAAUACCGCCUAAUACUUUAUUCUCCUAGAAGAAAUUGUAGCUGUGCCCAUUCUCACCAGCAAUGGUAGGGGGUUGUUGAGUUUCUUCACAAGAUUACUGACUCAUGCAUUUUGCUAAUCAGUAGCAACAGGAGCCAAACUUGGAUUCACCCUGAUAAAGCAGACAUUUGGGACUUCAUGUGAUCUAAUUGCUCUGAGCUGUUCCUUAAUCCCCAAUCGCUAAACCUUUGCAUCGUUGCCCACAAUGGCAUAAACUACCUUGAUCCAGGAUUGCAAAAUGGUCCACCCAACAAAGAAGCCUCAUAAUUGUUGAUGUGGCUGAGAUUCUCUAAUGCACCCUCCCUUGUUUUUAUUUGUUGUUCUAAGAAUUAUUUAAGUAAAAGAACAAAGCAAAUCUUAAACUUGUCUCUGUGAUAAGGUGAACCUCGGAAGGCGAAGUCCAUUUCUUCAUUCAUCUCUGCAUUCACAGCAACAGACCUCUCUUCUCACCCAGAUUGGGGGCCGAUGUUGCCUGAG
rnacentral:lncRNA from 1 species